AGAGUUUGAUCAUGGCUCAGGACGAACGCUGGCGGCGUGCUUAACACAUGCAAAGUCGAACGGUGACCUCGGAGCUUGCUCCGGGUGAUCAGUGGCGAACGGGUGAGUAACACGUGAGCAACCUGCCCCCGACUCUGGGAUAACCCCGGGAAAUCGGAGCUAAUACCGGAUACGAGACGUACAGGCAUCUGUUGCGUCUGGAAAGAAUUUCGGUCGGGGAUGGGCUCGCGGCCUAUCAGCUAGUUGGUGGGUAGUGGCCUACCAAGGCGACGACGGGUAGCCGGCCUGAGAGGGCGACCGGCCACACUGGGACUGAGACACGGCCCAGACUCCUACGGGAGGCAGCAGUGGGGAAUAUUGCACAAUGGGCGCAAGCCUGAUGCAGCGACGCCGCGUGAGGGAUGACGGCCUUCGGGUUGUAAACCUCUUUUUAGAGGAGAUGAGAAAGGGACAGUAUCCUCUGAAUAAGCCUCGGCGAACUACGUGCCAGCCGCCGCGGUAAUA
rnacentral:rRNA from 1 species